AAUAAUGUGUGGUUCUGUUUAAUUUCUAAACCACAUGUAUUUAUAUGGAGUUCUUGAGCGUCUAUUAUCACUGCCACUUCAGUUUUGUCAAAAGUUCAUGUAACCACAUAAAAAAUAAAAAAAAAGUGCCUUUACACCUACAUAGAAUCAAAAAAUAAAGUAAUAUAUAGACUAAUUUUGACAACCAAUUGUAAAAUAAUAAAAUAAUCUGCUGUACAAAUUUUGACUAGUUUUAUUAAUUUAUGUUUUUCUUUAUAAUUAUGACAAACUAAUAACUAAUUUACUUUGUAAUUAAUUUUAUUAUUAAUUAUUUUUAAAUUAAUUUAACUAUUAUUAUUAAGUAUCCAUGAAGAGUUGAUGUCUAUUUUUAAAUAUAAUUUAAUAAUAUACUCUGUUUCAAUCUAAUUUAGUGCAGUCCAAUCAUAAUGAUUAUUUCAAUCUAUUCCUUCACAACAAAAGUAACCUUAAAACCCUAGCCCUUCAGUAGCCUUAACCUCUUAGCAACAAUACAUAGCAGUAUCUCAUUAACUUCUUUUAUACCAUUGGUGUCCCCAGUUAACCUCAUUAAUUUUGUUGGGCAAAUGCUAAGUUACAAUAAUUGUAACAUACAUUCUUCGUGUGAAUCACAUAAAUUAUGGGUCCUACAAUUUGAUCCACAAUUUGUGUGGUUCACAAGAGGAAUAUAUGUUAUAAUUAUUGUAACUUAGAGGCUCCCAUUUUGUUGAACAAUCUUUUACCAUCAUAUAUAUAUAUUAUUCAUUUGAGUUUUGUAGGAUCUCAUUCUCCUUUUAAUAUCUCACUUGUAUUGAACCCCAACUUUUGAGCUAUAACUAAUCUAAUCAAUGUAAUAACUUAAAUCCUCGAGUUAUGUUAUCGUUAUCUAAAUUUAGUCUGUGAGAGACCCUUAGGCUAUAUUAUUGAUUAACUCCUAAUGAAUUAGAUUCAUUACCUAAUUUAAUUUUUUUUUAAUUUUAAAGAUUUUGUGUCACAUGUUUAUUAGUAUUAAUAUAUAAUUAAAAUUUAAUUAUUGUUUUAAUUUAUUAGCUACUAACUACGCGAGUAAAUUUUAUUCACGAGCAAAUCAGAGGAUAAGAGGAUCCAAAGAAACACUACUUAUAAUUCUUACUCAUCAUUCAAAUUCAAGUCUUGGUUUAAGCCAUUGAGGGGAAGGAAAAAGGAAAAGAAAAGAAAUUAUUGCUUUUGGGAUAUAUACUAGUGGUCGAGGAGUUGUCUAUCUAUUCAUAACAAUCUAUGCAAUUGGCACCGUGUGAAUUACGAUAUGAUUUUGCCAGCCCUCCCGUCACACACUCAGCCUAGCAUGUGCCAUUUAUUGACUUUAUUACUACGAGCACGGCAGAUAAAUCACGGCUUAAUAAAUUAAAGAGAAACGAAUUAUAUAUACAUACGUACGAGUGAAAGUGACAAAACGACGUUGUCUUUGUCCUCGUGGUGUGACUUCACGCCACUGUCACUGUUCAUAAACAAUUAUAUAUAUAUCAUCUAAUUCUUAAUUCUAGUCUGACGUCGCCCGUAAUACCUUAAUACUUUAAUCUUCCUUCUAGAAUUAUGUGUCAUCAAUGAUUGUGAUAACAGCUAAUCAUCUUCCUUUAUUUCUAUUUUUUGGAGCUUUGAUUACGUACGCCUUCAAAAUUUUCAUCCCUCUGCGCCACUUUCAAUAAUUUGCCACUUUCUUUUUAUUGUCGCAUGACCAAAGGGGCUUCACUACCCUUUUCUGUUUUUUUUUUCUUUGUCGUAAGAAUAAUGUGUGGUUCUGUUUAAUUUCUAAACCACAUGUAUUUAUAUGGAGUUCUUGAGCGUCUAUUAUCACUGCCACUUCAGUUUUGUCAAAAGUUCAUGUAACCACAUAAAAAAUAAAAAAAAAGUGCCUUUACACCUACAUAGAAUCAAAAAAUAAAGUAAUAUAUAGACUAAUUUUGACAACCAAUUGUAAAAUAAUAAAAUAAUAUAUAGAUUUGUAAUUCUAAUCAUAGUGGUUCAACUUUUAAGUAUUCUCUACACACUCAAAUUCACAGGAAGUGUCUUCUAACCUAUUUCAUUUUAUAAUUGCCCAGUUGAGGGGAGUUUUGGGUUCUUAGAUUGCGGAGGGUUUGCGAGUCAUAAAUCCACCUAGGAGACCGAUUCAAAUAGUUUCUUACAUGACACUGCCUCUUGGGGUUGCGAAGCUGACUAUAGAUGGUUGAUCUAAGGGCAAUCCUAAGAUGGCUGCUUCGGGUGGUAUUCUCCAUGAUCAUAGAUGUGCAGUUUUGGCUGCUUUUAGGUCCUUUCUUAGCUGCUAGCCGAUCCUUUAUGCUGAGCUUAUGGCAGUUUGUGAAGGGUUGGAGCUGGCUGUCUAGCUUGGUUACCAUGUGCUUGAGGUAGAGUCAAACACAACAAUGGUGGUUUCUUGGAUUCUUUUCCAGGGUCCUGAUCGCUGGGAUUAUGCUUAUUUGUUGCGUUGAGUGUGUGCUUUGAUUUCAUCUUCUUCAAUUUUAGUUAGACAUAUGUUUAGGGAGGCCACUUCUACUACAUAAUUUUUUGCCAAUUGGACCUGUACUCAUCGGGUUAGUCAGCAUUUCUUAUGUUCUCGAGAUCUUCCUGAAGGCUUAUUUGACAUUCUAUAUUAGAAUGUGCAGAUUGUUCCUCAUGUCAGACAUUAGGAUUGAUGGCUUUUUUAUGCUAUUUGAUCAUUUUGUACUUCUCUUUCUAUUCUUAUAUACUUACAAUUGCUUUAGGAGGUUUAGUUUAUGUCCAUCUCCUUGUAUAUUUACUUAUUUAUUGAUUUAUAUUACAGGUAGGGGUCUCACCUAAUCCCCAUGUUCUUGGUGGUUUCUUUCCAAUAAUAAUAAUAAAAAAUUAUUUUAUAUCAUUUUUAGUGAUUGAAAAAUAAGUUUUCAUGGCCGACAUAAAACUUUUAUCCUUGCGAAAUAGAAAUACAACUACUUUUCCCUA
rnacentral:lncRNA from 1 species